UGUUCAGGAAUCUGACGGGAGCUCUCUCUGAUACAGAGGAAACCUGCGAUUUACCUUCCUCUUUCUCUUUCCCACAGCAAGUCGCCACACAUCGGCCAGAAUUCUCUGAGGACUCCUUGGGGGCAGUUCUCACAGAAAUCUUGAAAAUCUUUAGAAUCUGUCACUCAUCCCUUUGGACUCUCAAAUUUUCUCUUCUGUCCCACCUUAGGGAAUCCAAUCUCCUAAUUCAAGAGCAGGAGCAGCAACUGGCCUAUCUGCGGCACAAGUUACAGGAAGGGCGAGAAGUGUGGGCCCUGCUGAGUCAGCACCUCAAUGACCUGCUGACACACAACGGCUCUGACGACCACCAAGGGCAGGCCUUCCGCCAGCAACUGGCUGAGGGAUAUAGGCUGGCCAAGCACCUUGCCCACAUACUCGGCCCAGGGAAUAACGAAGAUAAGGAAGAUGAAAAGACACAAGGCACACUCACUCACAGACCUUACAGUGAUUCUUCAUUGUCAUUUGACAGACACGAAAUCUUCCAAACCCUGGAUGCAGAGGGUGAGUACUCCCAC
rnacentral:lncRNA from 1 species